UCUCCCCGCCGCCGCAGCCCAUGAUGGAAUUUCCUCCCUCGUCGCUUCCCCGCACGGCCGCACGCCACCGUCGCCGCCUACGCCUCCGGAUCCCUCGCCCGCCUCGCGGCCACUCACGCCAACAUCCUCGCCCUGGACGACUCCCUAUUGUUGCUCAUCGCGCCCCUCUCCGCCACCCCGUCUCCCCGCUUAGCCUCAUGCCUCGUCAAGGCCGUAGCCACGCUCGUUUCCUGCGUCCUCCGCUCCGGCCCCGCCGGUUCGCGCUAAGCCCCCAACAACCACCCUUCCGUCCAGGCUCUCGCUUCGGGCGCUGACGGGGCACGCUCGGAGCUGUCACGGCAGGCGGCCAGGAUGGUCGCCGAGGGGUUGGACGGCGUGGUGUUGUUCCCGAGGCUGUUUGUGAUGUUUGUCGUGCUGAGGAAGGGGACGCCGCGUUCGCAAGGGAUUUGAUUGCUCGGCGAGAUCUUGCUGCAUUUCGACCGCGGGGAUGGGGAGGAUAAUGAAACAACUUCAUCUGAAGCUUUAUAUAACUCACCUAAGCUUCUACAUGGUGUGUUUGACCAGUUACUCGAUGAUCUGCUCAACACUAGGUGUCGUAAUAUAUAAUUCAACACAAACAGGGUCUUGAGGUUAAUAACUGUGUAAGCAUAUAAGAUCAUCUAUUUCUGGAGUUAAUUUAUGUUUUCAGGAUAUCGGCUUGGAUGGUGACUAUAUCCUACUUGGUACUUCUACUCUUACAUAAAUUCAGAUAUGCUCAAUUGUCACCAUCUAUUCAGUUGCAUACUUGAAUGAGGGUUCUUGAGGUUCUAAUGUGAUAUAUUGGAGCAUCAGAAAGUCUUGUAUUAUCUUGUUGAAAAGAAGAUGUUUUCUUAGCUACAAUGGAGAUCCUGAUACUAAUGAAAAUGCAUUCAAUGUUAGUCAUAUCUGGUCUGAUUGCUCAACCUAUGAUUCAUUCCAUGCAUGUCUUGGUGUAUAGUUGUCCUCUUCACACAAAUAGUUCCUGGAGGUUAAUGAUCACGACAUUGGAAAUCCAGUGUCUGCUUCUACAUGUGCUACUUGUUCAAUGUCUAUAAGAAGAUGCUGCGAUCUGCACUUCUGUAGUAAGUUCAUCUAUCUUUUUUGCUUAAAAUAAGUACUGAUGAAAUUAUGAUAUCUUAAAAACUAAAAGAUGGGAUGUGCUUGUUAUUCUUCGACAUGCUAUUUCAGAACAACACAACCUCUGGCCCUAUUAUUGAUAACAUAGGUAGGCUGGGGAUGAUACAUGCGGUUGCAUGUCAGAGUCAUGUUACGAAGUCCAGUGUCUGCUUCUGCAUGUGCUCCAUGUUUCAUGUCUAUAGGAACA